rnacentral:rRNA from 1 species
GACGUAGGGUGCAAGCGUUGUCCGGAUUUACUGGGCGUAAAGAGUGUGUAGGCGGUGCUCCCAGUCUGUUGUGAAAUCUCCCGGCUUAACUGGGAGGGUGCAGCGGAAACUAGAGUGCUAGAGGGUGGGAGAGGUACGCGGAAUUCCUGGUGUAGCGGUGAAAUGCGUAGAUAUCAGGAGGAACACCUGUGGUGUAGACAGCUUACUGGACCACUUCUGACGCUGAGACACGAAAGCGUGGGGAGCGAACAGG